rnacentral:rRNA from 1 species
UACGUAGGGGGCAAGCGUUGUCCGGAUUUAUUGGGUUUAAAGGGAGCGUAGGCCGGAGAUUAAGUGUGUUGUGAAAUGUAGACGCUCAACGUCUGACUUGCAGCGCAUACUGGUUUCCUUGAGUACGCACAACGUUGGCGGAAUUCGUCGUGUAGCGGUGAAAUGCUUAGAUAUGACGAAGAACUCCGAUUGCGAAGGCAGCUGACGGGAGCGCAACUGACGCUUAAGCUCGAAGGUGCGGGUAUCGAACAGGAUUAGAUACCCCGGUAGUCC